rnacentral:rRNA from 1 species
UAGAGUUUGAUCCUGGCUCAGGAUGAACGCUGGCGGCGUGCCUAAUACAUGCAAGUCGAGCGAAUGGAUUAAGAGCUUGCUCUUAUGAAGUUAGCGGCGGACGGGUGAGUAACACGUGGGUAACCUGCCCAUAAGACUGGGAUAACUCCGGGAAACCGGGGCUAAUACCGGAUAACAUUUUGAACCGCAUGGUUCGAAAUUGAAAGGCGGCUUCGGCUGUCACUUAUGGAUGGACCCGCGUCGCAUUAGCUAGUUGGUGAGGUAACGGCUCACCAAGGCAACGAUGCGUAGCCGACCUGAGAGGGUGAUCGGCCACACUGGGACUGAGACACGGCCCAGACUCCUACGGGAGGCAGCAGUAGGGAUCUUCCGCAAUGGACGAAAGUCUGACGGAGCAACGCCGCGUGAGUGAUGAGGCUUUCGGGCCGUAAACUCUGUUGUAGGGAGACAGUGCUAGUUGAUAGCUGGCACCUUGACGGUACUACCAGAAGCCACGGCUACUACGUGCAGCAGCGCGGUAUACGUAGUGGCAGCGUUAUCCGGAUAUUGG